GCCCCCGUAGCUCAGCGGAUAGAGCAGCUGCCUUCUAAGCAGACGGUCGGGGGUUCAACUCCCUCCGGGGGCGCCA
rnacentral:tRNA from 2 species